rnacentral:rRNA from 1 species
UAGGGAAUCUUCCGCAAUGGGCGAAAGCUUGACGGAGCAACGCCGCGUGAGUGAUGAAGGUCUUCGGAUCGUAAAACUCUGUUAUUAGGGAAGAACAAAUGUGUAAGUAACUAUGCACGUCUUGACGGUACCUAAUCAGAAAGCCACGGCUAACUACGUGCCAGCAGCCGCGGUAAUACGUAGGUGGCAAGCGUUAUCCGGAAUUAUUGGGCGUAAAGCGCGCGUAGGCGGUUUUUUAAGUCUGAUGUGAAAGCCCACGGCUCAACCGUGGAGGGUCAUUGGAAACUGGAAAACUUGAGUGCAGAAGAGGAAAGUGGAAUUCCAUGUGUAGCGGUGAAAUGCGCAGAGAUAUGGAGGAACACCAGUGGCGAAGGCGACUUUCUGGUCUGUAACUGACGCUGAUGUGCGAAAGCGUGGGGAUCAAGCAGG